rnacentral:rRNA from 1 species
AUGGCGUUGUCCAGGGCACAGACGAGCUCCGGCGAGUCGCUCAUCUCCUCCACCUUCGCGUCGCGCUACGUGCGCACCGCGCUCCCGAGGUUCAGGAUGCCGGAGCAGUCCAUCCCCAAGGACGCGGCGUACCAGAUCAUCAACGACGAGCUGAUGCUGGACGGGAACCCGCGCCUGAACCUCGCCUCCUUCGUCACCACCUGGAUGGAGCCCGAGUGCGACAAGCUCAUCCAGGAUUCCGUCAACAAGAACUACGUCGACAUGGACGAGUACCCCGUCACCACCGAGUUCCAGGUAUCUAUCAUUUCGUUUUUGAUGCAAUUUUUACGCGACUACGGCCGGCGACGUAUGUUACUGUUUGUGGAUUUGAAACAGAACCGGUGCGUCAACAUGAUCGCGCAUCUCUUCAACGCGCCCAUCGGCGAGGACGAGACGGCCGUCGGGGUGGGCACCGUCGGCUCCUCGGAGGCCAUCAUGCUGGCCGGGCUGGCCUUCAAGAGGAAGUGGCAGAACAAGAUGAAGGCCGAGGGCAAGCCCCACGACAAGCCCAACAUCGUCACCGGCGCAAAUGUCCAGGUGUGUUGGGAGAAAUUCGCGCGGUACUUCGAGGUAGAGCUCAAGGAGGUGAAGCUCAGGGAAGGGUACUACGUCAUGGACCCCGAGAAGGCCGUAGAGUUGGUCGACGAGAACACCAUCUGCGUCGCCGCCAUCCUCGGCUCCACACUCAACGGCGAGUUCGAGGACGUCAAGAUGCUCAACGACCUCCUCGUCGCCAAGAAUGCAGAGACAGGGUGGGACACGCCGAUUCACGUGGACGCGGCCAGCGGCGGGUUCAUCGCGCCCUUCAUCUACCCGGAGCUGGAGUGGGACUUCCGGCUGCCGCUGGUGAAGAGCAUCAACGUCAGCGGGCACAAGUACGGCCUCGUAUAUGCCGGCGUCGGGUGGGUGAUUUGGAGGAACAAGGAGGACCUGCCCGACGAGCUCAUCUUCCACAUCAACUACCUCGGCGCCGACCAGCCAACCUUCACGCUCAACUUCUCCAAAGGUUCGAGCCAGAUCAUUGCGCAGUAUUAUCAACUCAUCCGUCUCGGAUUCGAGGGCUACAAGGACAUCAUGCAAAAUUGCCGGGACAACGCAACGGUGCUCCGGGAGGGAGUCGAGAAGAUGGGCUACUUUCACCUGGUGUCCAAGGACUCGGGCGUGCCGCUCGUGGCCUUCUCCCUCAAGGACUCGUCCAAAUACACGGUGUUCGAGGUGGUCGAGAGCCUGCGCCGCUUCGGCUGGAUUGUUCCGGCAUACACAAUGCCCGCCGACGCCGAGCACAUCGCUGUCAUGCGUGUGGUCAUCCGUGAGGACUUCAGCCGCGGCCUGGCCGAGCGCCUCAUCACCGACCUCAAGAAGGUCAUGGUGGAGAUGGACGCGCAUGCCAAGAAGCAUGGGCAUCACGAGCAUGUGAAGAAGACAGCACACCAAAUUGAGAAGGAGGUGACCACCUACUGGCGGACCUUCGUUGCGAGGAAGAAGCACAGCCUGGUUUGCUGA